ensembl:misc_RNA
UUAGAAGGCCAAGAGACUGAAGUCCUCCAUUUUUUCACAGAACAGGUAUAACAUGGACAACAGCAAUUCAACUUUUUCCCACACUGCCCUGCCAAUGUGCCUCGACCCUGACCUGGGGGGGCCACCUCUAGGGUGAGAGGGUGGCUCAUUCAUUCAGUCCUUGGCCAUCCUUCUGAAACAGCCAAC